AGCAUGCAAGUCAAACGGAAUGUAGCAAUACAUUUAGUGGCGAACGGGUGAGUAACGCGUGGAUGAUCUACCUAUGAGAUGGGGAUAACUACUAGAAAUAGUAGCUAAUACCGAAUAAGGUCAAUUAAUUUGUUAAUUGAUGAAAGGAAGCCUUUAAAGCUUCGCUUGUAGAUGAGUCUGCGUCUUAUUAGUUAGUUGGUGGGGUAAAUGCCUACCAAGACGAUGAUAAGUAACCGGCCUGAGAGGGUGAACGGUCACACUGGAACUGAGAUACGGUCCAGACUCCUACGGGAGGCAGCAGCUAAGAAUCUUCCGCAAUGGGCGAAAGCCUGACGGAGCGACACUGCGUGAAUGAAGAAGGUCGAAAGAUUGUAAAAUUCUUUUAUAAAUGAGGAAUAAGCUUUGUAGGAAAUGACAAAGCGAUGACGUUAAUUUAUGAAUAAGCCCCGGCUAAUUACGUGCCAGCAGCCGCGGUAAUACGUAAGGGGCGAGCGUUGUUCGGGAUUAUUGGGCGUAAAGGGUGAGUAGGCGGAUAUAUAAGUCUAUGCAUAAAAUACCACAGCUCAACUGUGGAGCUAUGUUGGAAACUAUAUGUCUAGAGUCUGAUAGAGGAAGUUAGAAUUCCUGGUGUAAGGGUGGAAUCUGUUGAUAUCAGGAAGAAUACCGGAGGCGAAGGCGAACUUCUGGGUCAAGACUGACGCUGAGUCACGAAAGCGUAGGGAGCAAACAGGAUUAGAUACCCUGGUAGUCUACGCUGUAAACGAUGCACACUUGGUGUUAA
rnacentral:rRNA from 1 species